UCUCAUCACUCAGUUUUACUGACCUUUUGAUAUUAUAGCUUAUAUAACCAUAUAUGUUUUAACUUGAAAAUAGCAGUGACAGAGUCAAAAACAAUACCAAAUUUUGUCCAAGAAUCUUUGGUUAGAAAUAAACGAGGUAGACAAUGUAUUUUAGGAAAAUGGUUAAAAUAUGUAGUUUUUGUGCUGAUGGAGUGAGCUUUACUGAUGUAGAUACUUUAUUAUCCCAGUGAUGCCACCUGAAAAGACAUUACAGCAAAGCACAUAGUCUCUUUCAGAAGAGUUUCAAAUUCAGUUACAUACAGAAUUCUAAUCCUAUAUAAACUCUUAGGUUGGGUUUAUUUUUGUGAAAAUAGUAAGAAUAGAUUACAUAAUAAAUAAGUGUUAUAAUUUUUGACAUUCUGUUGCAGACUUUAAAUCACGCAUAGUCAGAGACACUUUAAUCAAGACAGUCUAAGCAUUGUUUGGAGGGAUGAACUGAUGUAAAAUUGCUGUUUCACUUGUAUUAUAUUUUUUUUCACACUCAGUUGUUCUGGAUUCUCUAGGAACAGGUAUCCUAUAAUAUUCCAAUAGAUGAGAAGCUGUACACUGUGCACCUAAAGCCAAGAUAUUUUUUAGCAGAUAAUUUCAUGGUUUAUUUGUAUAAACAAGAAUCUGUGAGUUCUUAUUCUCCAAAUAUUCAGACUCACUGCUACUACCAAGGGUACAUAGAAGGAUAUCCGAAUUCUGUUGUUUCACUCAGCAUGUGCUCUGGACUGAGAGGAAUACUGCAAUUUGAAAAUGUUUCUUAUAGAAUUAGACCUCUGGAACCUACAGGUGGAUUUCAGCAUCUUCUUUAUAAAUUAAGGAAUGAAAACAAUGAGUCUGCAGUUCAUCCUGAAAAUAAUUGCAGCCUAGAACAAAGCCCUAUGGACAAUGGCAUUUUUAUAAGUGAAAAAUCAGAAUCAGCUACUCAAAAUUUAAUUCCUCUUUAUCUAGAAAUGCAUAUUGUGGUGGACAAAGUUUUGUAUGAUUACUUGGGCUCUGAUAGCAUGAAAGUAACAAAUAAAAUCAUCGAAAUUAUUGGCCUUGUAAAUUCGAUGUUUGCUCAACUUAAACUUACUGUUGUACUGACAUCAUUGGAAUUGUGGUCAGAUAAAAAUAAGAUUUCUACAGUUGGUGAGGCAGAUGAAUUAUUGCAUAGAUUUUCAGAAUGGAAAAAGUCCUAUCUUACCCUACGGCCUCAUGAUAUUGCAUAUUUAUUCAUCUCUAGAGAUCAUCAAGAGUACAUGGGAGCAACAUUUCCUGGAAAGAUGUGUGUUGCCCAUUAUUCUGCAGGAAUUGUUUUGUAUCCCAAGGAGAUAACGCUGGAGGCAUUUUCAGUCAUUGUCACCCAGAUGCUGGGACACAGCCUGGGAAUAUCAUAUGAUGACCCAAAGAGAUGUGAAUGCUCAGGAGCCAUUUGUAUCAUGAAUCCAGAGGCUAUGAAAUUCAGUGGUGUGAAAACUUUUAGCAGUUGCAGUUUGAGUGACUUUGAAAUUUUCAUUUCUAAUACGGGCAGUAAAUGUCUUCAGAAUAAGCCACAAAUGCAAAGGCCGCCAGCAUCAAUCUGCGGCAACCGCAAAAUGGAAGGAAAUGAAACAUGUGACUGUGGUACUGAGGAACAAUGUGGACCUGAUAGCUGUUGUAAUCCUAGAACUUGUGAGCUAAAACCAGGAGCACAGUGUGAUACAGGAUCAUGCUGCAAGAAUUGUCAAAUUGAAAGAGCAGGUGUUGAAUGCAGGCCCAUAAAGCAUGUUGAAUGUGAUGUUCCUGAGGCUUGUAAUGGAACCUCACCACUCUGUCAACCUGACAUAACUAUACACAAUGGACAUAUAUGUAAAAAUGAAUUUAUGUGUUUUGAUGGAGACUGUCAUGAUCUUGAUGCACGUUGCAAGGCCACAUUUGGAAAAGGUUCAAAAAAUGCUCCAGUUGCAUGCUAUGAAGAAAUGCACUCUCAAGCAGAUAAGUUUGGGAAUUGUGGUGAGGAAAGAGGCAAAUAUAAAUUCUGUGCAUGGAGGAAUCUUUUAUGUGGAAGAUUAAUUUGUACCUAUCCUUUUGAAACUCCUUUACAUCAAGAAAACGGUACUGUGAUUUAUGCUUAUGUGCGAAAUACUCGAUGUAUAACUGCAGACUACAGAUUGCCUGAUUCAAGUGAAGAUCCAUUGGUGAUCCGCAGUGGCUCUCGUUGUGACACAGGGAGGAUUUGUAUAAAUGGUGUAUGUGAGGAAGCAAGUGGACUUCAGAGUCAAGCAUCGAGAUGUUCACUAAAGUGCCAUGGACAUGGGGUGUGCAAAUCGAAUAUGGAGUGCCAUUGUACUGGGGGCUACCUGCCUCCACAUUGCAAACAUCGUAGCAGAGAAGUUUCUAGAUUGUCCAAGAAGCAAGGUUUAAUCAUAGAAAAAGCUUUGGGGAAGACUGAGAAGAACUGGAGGCUUCUAUGUCUCUACACUGCUUUACAUGCUCUCCUAGUAGCAGCUGUAGUAACCAUAAUAGCUGUUUUAUGAAACAUUUUGAAAAAGUGACUCACCAAGGAAGAGGAAUCACCAAGUAUCCAAUCCGAAUCAAAGAAAAGCACCCGAACACAUGACAGUAGGCAAUAACUAGUAACUCCUUGAGAAGGCAAUGGAUAUCACCGAGGGUCCUGCUGAGGAAUGACAAUUCUGCCCUUGGUCACAGCCGAAGAAACAAUAAACCAAGUGUGGAGCAAUUUGCAUGCGUGUCUGUUUUUCUGUCUUCCUCCACCCAUGAGCUGCUGUUCUGCCCCUUUAGGCUCCUAAGGAACGGCCCUCUCAAUUCAGGCAACUCCAUCCCCACCCAGCUCCCUGAGCUCUUCUCUGCAGCUCUGCCACCAUCCGCUCAGGUUUACUGCCUGGGCCCACAUACUGGGAAUCUCCAUCAACUGCCCUUAGGAUGGGAUUUGGGUGGUGGCCCCUGUUCCUCCUCCUGCUCCUUCUCGCUGGACCUAGCUGGGUGCAUGCAGGUCUUAGCUAAUACAGAGAUUUACCUACCCCUCCCCACAGCCCUGACCCAGUUUUCGGAGGGAGGCUGUAUUUGCUCUAGGGACUUGCUCUACUUGACCACCUAGGACUCUGCUUCACCUACUGUCUUUCUCUUCCCCUUAGCCAGGUGACCUGCAGGGUGAAUCCCAGAAGACAGAAGGACCCAGAGAACUUGGGUUUGGGUCUCAGGAGGAAAGAUUAAUCUCUUAUCAGAUUUUGGUACGAGGAUUGAUAAACUGAGUUAGGAAAAGGUCACCUUAUAGUUUCUGAGAGUUUGUAUAAAACUGUUCAGUUUUUCAAUUAAAUAUUUUAAUUUAAGAUUCACUAAUGAAGCAGCAGUUCUCUUUGUGGGAGGAUUUUGAAUUAUUGAUUGAAUUUAACAGGGGACUAUUUAGAUUUUCCAUUUAUUCUUGCGAGUAGUUUUUUCAAGUAUUGUAAUCUUAGAGGAGUUUAUCCAUUUCAUUUAAUGGUCAAUCUUUUGGCAUGAAGUUGGGCUUAAUACCUAUUUUUAUGUCUGUGGGAUCUGUAGUUAUGUCCUCUCUUUGAAUCCAAAUCAUGGUGGUACUCCCCUGUCUCUGAUCAGUCUGGAUAAGAGUUUUUCCAUUUAACCUACUCAUCUCUUCAGACCACAUCUUGGCUUUUCAUUGUUUUCUGCCUUAUUGUUUUGUUCUUUUCCUAGCUUCUUGAGGUAAAAGUUUUAGAUCAUUGAUUGUAAACAUUUUCUAACUUGUUUAAAAAUAUAAAAUUGCUCUAUAUAAUUCUUCAGCUUAUUUCAUGAAUUUGACGUUUUGUUUUCAUUAUUCUUUUUAAAAAUUUUGAUCUCUGUAUUAUGGGCUCCUUAAAAGUGAGUUGUUUAAUUUCCAAAUAUUUGUAUACUUUCAGUUUAAUUUUAUUGGUUCCUAGUUAAUUCAGCCAUGGUCCGAGAAUGUACUUACAUGAUUUUAUUUCUUCGGAUUUAUUGUGUUUUGCUUAGAUCCAGCCUGUGGUCUAUUUUGUUCAAUGUUCCAUGUGAACUAAAAACAUGUACAUUUUGUAUUUGUUGUAUAUGUAAGUGUCAAUUAAGUUUGUUAAUGUUUUAAAAAUCCUCUUACUGGUUUUUCCCCCUGUUCUGUCAUUUCCUAAGAGAGGUGUGUUAAAGUUGCCAGUUAUUAUUGUUGAUAUGUUGUUUGUUUUAGGCAUAUUAUUUGUAUUUUCAUGUAUUAUAAAAUUAUAUCUUAGUGCACUUAGGACUGUUGUUUUCCUGAUGAACUGACCCUUUAUCAUUAUAUAAUUCUCCUUUUUAUCUCUAGUAAUACUCUAAGUCUUAGUCUUACUUUUUAUGAUAUUAAUAUAACCAUACCAGCUUUUUUAAAGUUUCCCUUUGCAUGGGGCUAUUUUUUUUAAUCAUUUUACUUCCAAUAUAUCUUUCCUUAUAAUUUAUGAUGCAUCUGAUGUUAACAGCAUACAGCUGUGUCUUGUACUUUUUUAAAAUCCAGUUGGGCAAUGUUUUUAUCUUUUUUUUAAUUAAAGUAUAGUUACAUACAAUAUUAUAUUAGUUUCAGGUAUACAACACAGUGAUUAGACAAUUAGUAAGUCCUUACAUAUCAAUAAUUACUCUUAAUAAAUGGAUUGAAUUCUGUAAUCAAGAAGACACAGAGUACCUGAAUGGAUAAAAAAAAAAAAAAGAACCACUUAAAUGCUGCCUUUGAGAUUCACUUCAGGCUUACGGACACACAUAAAUUCAAAAUUAAGGGAUAGAAAAAGAUAUUCCAUGCAAGUGGAAACCAAAAUAUAUCAGGAAUAGCUAUACCCAUAUUAGGCAAAAUAGACUUAAAGCCAAAAAUGGUAAUAAGAGACAAAGGUCAUUUUAUAAUGAUAAAGAGAUCAACUCAUCAAGAAGAUAUAAAAUGUAAAUAUGUAUGCACCAAACA